UCCACGAAGUGAAACAAAACACAAUCAGUAACAAAACCAGAACGAAAGGACACUCGUCACUGCAAGAAUAAUUAAAAAUGGCGAAUUGUAAGGUGCUCCUUGCAGUUGUGAUUGUGGUGACUCUCCUGAUCGGUUCUGAGUACUGUCGCAAGAGGACGACACCUUUUGACCCCUGCUGGUAUAUGAAAUGUGCACCUGGAUACACCUGCUCUGAUAACAGAAGAUAUUGCGCCAGGCCAGCAUGCCACCAAGCCGCACCCUCAUGUGUACCGUCAACCGAAUCUAUCUUUUACCCAUAAACAAUGAGAUUCUGGUAUCAGAACCCAAUAUUUCAAAACUGAUCAUACAAAAUUCAGCCGUGUAAUACGAUACUGAGCGAGUUCCAUCCACUUAGAAUUCCCAAAACUUAUUUACCAGAUAUCCAUUUUGAUUCUAACUUCCUAACUCAUACUUGGUGUGUUUAGUACGACAGCGCAUGAAAAAUUAACCUCUGACACAAGACAAUCAAAAUUGUUACCAAUUCAGCAGACUGCAGCAAAUCUAAAACAUUACAUGUGUCUCUUCAGGUGAAAGAUCAAGUUUUCAAAAAAGAAAAAGAAAAAGGGAAAAAAUAAGAAGAAAGACUUUACAAGACUUAAUCAAGGCGUGAUCUCAAACCUGCCUUAAUAAAGAAACACAAUGCUCAUGUAGUAUUCAGUGCCAUCCAAAUAUUUGGUUUUGCAUUUCCUGUUGACAAUGCAGAAGUGCACAAACUCAAUAAGAUAAUGAUUACGAAGAGAGAAAAAAAAACUGUUUACAUUUUACAACUUGAAUAUUCCAGCAAGAAAAGAUUUAAGGCUGCAAGAACAGAACCGUCAGAAUUAACACCUUCUUGCAAACAAGACAAAACACAGCAAAAUUAAAUGCCCCACGCUACGCUUACUACAUCAAAACACAGCAUAGACAUGACAUUUAAAUUAAUUGGUACGACAGAGCUGAAUGCCAUCGACUUAAAUGCUGCGACAGAAAGAUAACCGGAUCACUUCUUAAUAAAAGGCAAGAAUGAAAUCUGAUAUUAAACUAGAAGUCACAGACAAAGUGUUAACAAAUCAUAAAUUAAAUUUAAACACUGCUGGAUAUUUUACUUUAAACAGGAAACCCUACAGUGAACUGCCUCGUGUAGCGCCGUUUCAUAGAAAUUGAGAUGAAACGUGUAAUUACGAACAAAUAAACUCACACCCACAAUGAAAUACACCAAACUGCUGAGUGCCAGAUCAUACUUUCAUAAAAAGCAGCAAAAGAAAUACUGAGGGCCAUGUGGUUAACAUACCAGUUUUACACCACAAGCCGCGGUUAAAUUUGAAGACCACGUGUGUCGAAUUUGGUGGACAGAGCGGCACUUUACAAUCCACGAGGCCUCAUCGACAUCUUCAGUUUGGACUUCAACUUCUAUGGGCCCAGUACAAGGAAACCUAUUUUCAGAAAGAAGAUUACGUGACUGCGGAUAUACUGCACCCAUCAGCAAUAACAGAUUAAAUUACUGUGAGAACACGGUCAUGUUCAAAUACCUAAUACUUCCAUACAGUAAACACUGACAAAUAAUAAUAACAAACUAACCCUUUGCAAGGCAAGUGAUAUGUUUUUGGAAUGGUAUUUAAUUGGUUACAAAUAAACAAUAAAGUUUCAACCAAAAUA